CCCCAGACCAACUCCUGGAGUC
rnacentral:misc_RNA from 1 species